AUAAAACCAAUUCAUCAUACAGAUUAACUUUAUUUUGAUGUAAUGCAAAUCAAUGUACAAACAGUAUUAUCUAUACAACUGUAAUGCCUAGUCUCUAAUUAUCUUGUAAAUUCCUCCAUACCAGGGAUACAUUAUUGGAGGUGGCGGCAGAUCAUUAUCCCAUACCUUUUUAUAAUCAGGGUCUGCAUCAGUAUAUCGAUCAGAAAACUCUAGCAUGCAUUCUUCUAAAAAUAUUCGUUGUUCUUCCGUAUAUGAUUCUUCUGAAGACAUGAUUGUACACACACAUAACUCUUGUGCCUUUGCACAUUUAAGCAGUACCAGGGGCUCUGCUGCUGAGUUUCAUCAUUAAUUGAAUACAGAAUGGAAGCUGUUUUUCCAAAAGAAACUAAAUAUAGAAGACGAAGAAUAAUUUCAAAAUUUCCAAUAGAAAUGUAUCCUAGAAGAUUCAGGAAUUGAGGAGAUGAUAUGUUUUAACAUUUUAAA